rnacentral:rRNA from 1 species
UACAGAGGGUGCAAGCGUUAAUCGGAAUUACUGGGCGUAAAGCGCACGUAGGCGGUUUUUUAAGUCAGAUGUGAAAGCCCCGGGCUCAACCUGGGAAUUGCAUUUGAAACUGGAAAACUAGAGUGUGUGAGAGGGGGGUAGAAUUCCAAGUGUAGCAGUGAAAUGCGUAGAGAUUUGGAGGAAUACCAGUGGCGAAGGCGGCCCCCUGGCACAACACUGACGCUCAGGUGCGAAAGCGUGGGGAGCAAACAGG